rnacentral:rRNA from 1 species
AUUGAACGCUGGCGGCAGGCCUAACACAUGCAAGUCGAACGGUAACAGGAAACAGCUUGCUGUUUCGCUGACGAGUGGCGGACGGGUGAGUAAUGUCUGGGAAACUGCCUGAUGGAGGGGGAUAACUACUGGAAACGGUAGCUAAUACCGCAUAACGUCGCAAGACCAAAGAGGGGGACCUUCGGGCCUCUUGCCAUCGGAUGUGCCCAGGUGGGAUUAGCUAGUAGGUGGGGUAACGGCUCACCUAGGCGACGAUCCCUAGCUGGUCUGAGAGGAUGACCAGCCACACUGGAGCUGGAACACGGUCCAGACUCCUACGGGAGGCAGCAGUGGGGAAUAUUGCACAAUGGGCGCAAGCCUGAUGCAGCCAGGCCGCGUGUAUGAAGAAGGCCUUCGGGUUGUAAAGUACUUUCAGCGGGGAUGAAGGGAGUAAAGUUAAUACCUUUGCUCAUUGACGUUACCCGCAGAAGAAGCACCGGCUAACUCCGUG